CCUACGGGGUGCAGCAGUGGGGAAUAUUGGACAAUGGGCGAAAGCCUGAUCCAGCCAUGCCGCGUGUAUGAAGAAGGCCUUCGGGUUGUAAAGCACUUUCAGUGGGGAAGAAAGCCUUGGGGCUAAUACCCUCGAGGAAGGACAUCACCCACAGAAGAAGCACCGGCUAACUCCGUGCCAGCAGCCGCGGUAAUACGGAGGGUGCGAGCGUUAAUCGGAAUUACUGGGCGUAAAGCGCGCGUAGGCGGUCUGAUAAGCCGGUUGUGAAAGCCCCGGGCUCAACCUGGGAACGGCAUCCGGAACUGUCAGGCUAGAGUGCAGGAGAGGAAGGUAGAAUUCCCGGUGUAGCGGUGAAAUGCGUAGAGAUCGGGAGGAAUACCAGUGGCGAAGGCGGCCUUCUGGACUGACACUGACGCUGAGGUGCGAAAGCGUGGGUAGCAAACAGGAUUAGAUACCCGGGUAGUC
rnacentral:rRNA from 1 species